GUCUACCUGGGAUAGCUCAGUCAGCAGAGCAUGAGACUCUUAAUCUCAGAGUCGUGGGUUCAAGCCCCACGUUGAGACU